CGUGGGGGAUAACGUAGCGAAAGCUACGCUAAUACCGCAUACGAUCUAUGGAUGAAAGCGGGGGAUCGCAAGACCUCGCGCGAUUGGAGCGGCCGAUAUCAGAUUAGGGUAGUUGGUGAGGUAAAGGCUCACCAAGCCGACGAUCUGUAGCUGGGUCUGAGAGGACGACCAGCCACACUGGGACUGAGACACGGCCCAGACUCCUACGGGAGGCAGCAGUGGGGAAUUUUGGACAAUGGGCGCAAGCCUGAUCCAGCAAUGCCGCGUGCAGGAUGAAGGCCUUCGGGUUGUAAACUGCUUUUUGUACGGAACGAAACGGUGAGCUCUAAUACAGUUUGCUAAUGACGGUACCGUAAGAAUAAGCACCGGCUAACUACGUG
rnacentral:rRNA from 1 species